GACGAACGCUGGCGGCGUGCUUAACACAUGCAAGUCGAGCGGUAAGGCCCUUCGGGGUACACGAGUGGCGAACGGGUGAGUAACACGUGGGUAAUCUGCCCUGCACAUCGGGAUAAGCCUGGGAAACUGGGUCUAAUACCGAAUAGGACCACAGGACACAUGUCCUGUGGUGGAAAGCUUUUGCGGUGUGGGAUGGGCCCGCGGCCUAUCAGCUUGUUGGUGGGGUGAUGGCCUACCAAGGCGACGACGGGUAGCCGGCCUGAGAGGGUGUCCGGCCACACUGGGACUGAGAUACGGCCCAGACUCCUACGGGAGGCAGCAGUGGGGAAUAUUGCACAAUGGGCGAAAGCCUGAUGCAGCGACGCCGCGUGGGGGAUGACGGCCUUCGGGUUGUAAACCUCUUUCACCAUCGACGAAGGUCCGGGUUUUCUCGGGCUGACGGUAGGUGGAGAAGAAGCACCGGCCAACUACGUG
rnacentral:rRNA from 1 species